rnacentral:tRNA from 1 species
UGCAGCUCAGUGGUAAAGCGCUCACCUCGUAUGUGGAAGGCACUGGGUUCGAGCCUCAGAACUGCAU